rnacentral:lncRNA from 1 species
GAAGGUUUAGGGGCUCCUCUUUCUCUCACGCACAGUCUCAUGCACGUGUAUCCGUAUAAGCGUUUCAUCUUAGUAUUUAUUCAAAAUAUGUGCCACAUGCUGGGUAAGUGAUGAGGACAAUGGCCCUGCUGGGAGUCCCCCAUUGUCACAUGGAGUCCCCUCCCCAUCCGUGUGGUUAGCGAUCCCCUGGGUAUUUGCAGGUCUGAGGGAUGGCAGAGACGGUUCUCACCGGCUUAAGUGUUCCAGAAAACGGAAGUAGCAAUUCGUAGUUCAUGCUUUCCUGAAUUUUUCUCUCAUUUUUUUCUUUGACUAACAUUUUGAAGGAAAUAGGCACUGGGGUCUGAAAACAUGGAGAUGAGGAGAGACGGGCUGCAGCAGAGGCCUGAGCGGGCCGUGGGGAGAUGCUGCUGUGUUUGCCAGCCUCAGGCGGGAGUUUAGUCUUGAGACAUAGACUCACCUCUAGAAGGGAAGAGGGAAUGCUGUCUUCCCAGGAAAGGACGGCAGGGCGGUCUUCACCCAUCUCCUUCCAGACUUUAUCAGGUAUGCCUGCAGAAGCCGAAUUGGAAUUCAUGGCUGGGCAUCUCUGAAGUUGAUGAGGCUGACAUCUCAUGGACCAACCCUCAACCACUGGGAGACUGGAGCUGCUGGAUAAAUGAUUCUGUCUUCUGUCUCUUGGGCAGAUGAUGCAGAGAUAUUUUAUUCUCUUCUCAUGAUAUCCUGGUGAUGGGAUGGGGAGCUUGAUACCACAUUAUAGUGUGUGUGUGGCAUUGAUGGUACUGGCUUUUCCUCCUUCCCUGUUGACCCUCACUAGCACCUCACUGGCAUCCCUGGUUGACUUCCCAAAAUAAACUACCUGCACACAGUCCUUUUCUAAGGCUGCAUCUUAGGAGGGGGAAGAGGCCACACCAACACAGAUCUCUGUUGGUGGGAGAUCAUGUGGCUGGUUUGAGGAGUUCAGAGUUUGAUAUUAUCCUGGCAUCUCUACACAUGCUAGGUCUAAGAUGUGCUACAGGGGUGUGGAUUGAACAUCACACACCCUAAAAUGAGAGCUGUUGCCAGGAACAGGUGUAUUUCCUGAGAGAGAGUGUAAGGAAGACAAUAACAGAGAGUGCUAAAAACUGAGUUAUGGGGGAAAGGCUAGUGGGAUUGAUUCACCCCAGCAUGCAUUUUCUGUGUGUCUACCACGUGCCAGGAUAUGCCUGGAAGAAGUCUAUAAGGAUGUGGUUUUGACCUCAUGGAGCUUACAGUCUAGGGGAGGAGGCUGACAAACUGAUGGCAGUCCCCCGAAUGAC